rnacentral:rRNA from 1 species
GAACGCUGGCGGCAAGCCUUACACAUGCAAGUCGAGCGGUAACAUUUCUAGCUUGCUAGAAGAUGACGAGCGGCGGACGGGUGAGUAAAGCAUAGGAAUCUGGCCAAUAGGAGGGGGAUACGCCCGGAAGAAAUCCGGAUUUAAUACCGCAUACACUCUAUGGGAGAAAAAGCGAGGGGAUCGUUCCGGACCUUGCGCUAGUUGGAUGAGCCUAUGUCGGAUUAGUUAGUUGGUGGGGUAAAGGCCUACCAAGGCGACGAUCCGUAGCUGGUCUUAGAGGAUGAUCAGCCACAUCGGGACUGAGACACGGCCCGAACUCCUACGGGAGGCAGCAGUGGGGAAUAUUGCACAAUGGGCGCAAGCCUGAUGCAGCUAUGCCGCGUGCGUGAAGAAGGCCUUAGGGUUGUAAAGCACUUUCAGUAGUGAGGAAAAGUGUUGCGUUAAUAGCGCAAUGCUGUGACGUUAGCUACAGAAGAAGGACCGGCAAACUCCGUG